GACAAACUGAAAAUUCCUCCUGAGGAGAUGAAAGAAAUGGAACAGAAGCUUAUUACAGACCUCCAGGAAUAUGUAGAGCCAGGAGAAUUCCCAGCUUCCCCCCAGAGAAGAAACACCAUGUCCCAGGAAGACCGAGACGAGAGUGUGGUUUUACCUCUGGGCGCGGAUACACUCACGCAUAACUUGGGCAUUCCAGUCCUGGUUGUUUGCACAGUGUGAUGCCAUUAGUGUAUUGGAGAAAGAACAUGACUACAGGGAUGAACAUUUUUAUUUCAUUCAGUCCCAUAUCCGGAAGUUUUGUUUACAGUAUGGUGCAGCACUUAUUUACACUUCAGUAAAGGAAAACAAAAAUAUAGAUUUAAUAUAUAAAUACAUUGUCCAGAAACUAUAUGGAUUUCCCUAUAAGAUUCCUGCUCUUGUUGUGGAAAAAGAUGCUGUAUUUAUUCCGGCAGGGUGGGAUAACGAUAAGAAAAUAGGAAUAUUACAUGAAAAUUUCCAGUCCUUAAAAAUAGGAGAUAAUUUUGAAGAUAUCAUAACGAAACCACCUGUCCGAAAGUUUGUGCAUGAGAAGGAGACUGUGGCGGAAGAUGACCAGGUGUUUCUUAUGAAGCUUCAGUCCCUCUUAGCAAAACAGCCACCAACUACUGCUGGAAGGCCUGUGGAUGCCUCGCCCAGAGUUCCAGGAGGCUCCCCCCGGACGCCAAGCCGGUCCGUGUCUUCCAAUGUUGCCAGCGUGUCACCCAUCCCUGCGGGGUCAAAAAAAAAAUUGAUCCAAAUAUGAAAGCUGGAGCCACAAGUGAAGGGGUCCUGGCAAAUUUUUUCAAUAGCUUGCUGAGUAAAAAGACUGGCACUCCAGGAGGCCCUGGGGGAGGGAGUCCUGGAGGUGGGGCUGGAGCUGGAAGUAGUGGCUUACCUCGGUCCUCCAAAAAGUCAGGCAAGAAGCCUGUCCUGUCAGACGUUCAUGCAGAACUGCACAGAAUUGCAUGGAAACCAGUUACUGUUUCUCCUACAACACCCACAUCCCCAACGGAAGGAGAAGCUUCAUCAAGAUACCAAAUAAAGCCAUUAAAUUUUGGGGGAUAA